rnacentral:rRNA from 1 species
UAGGGAAUCUUCGGCAAUGGACGGAAGUCUGACCGAGCAACGCCGCGUGAGUGAAGAAGGUUUUCGGAUCGUAAAGCUCUGUUGUUAGAGAAGAACGUUGGUAGGAGUGGAAAAUCUACCAAGUGACGGUAACUAACCAGAAAGGGACGGCUAACUACGUGCCAGCAGCCGCGGUAAUACGUAGGUCCCGAGCGUUGUCCGGAUUUAUUGGGCGUAAAGCGAGCGCAGGCGGUUCUUUAAGUCUGAAGUUAAAGGCAGUGGCUUAACCGUUGUACGCUUUGGAAACUGGAGGACUUGAGUGCAAAAGGGGAGAGUGGAAUUCCAUGUGUAACGGUGAAAUGCGUAGAUAUAUGGAGGAACACCGGUGGCGAAAGCGGCUCUCUGGUCUGUAACUGACGCUGAGGCUCGAAAGCGUGGGGAGCAAACAGG